CAGCAAAUAGUUUAUUAAAAAUUUAAAUUUUGGGGAUUUAUGAAGUGUAAUUUUUACACUUUGCUGA
rnacentral:tRNA from 1 species